UACGUAGGGCGCGAGCGUUGUCCGGAAUUAUUGGGCGUAAAGAGCUCGUAGGCGGCCGGUUGCGUCUGCUGUGAAAUCCCGGGGCUUAACCCCCGGGCGUGCAGUGGAUACGGGCCGGCUGGAGGCAGGCAGGGGAGAAUGGAAUUUCCGGUGGAGCGGUGAAAUGCGUAGAGAUCGGAAAGAACACCAACGGCGAAAGCACUCUGCUGGCCGACACUGACACUGAGAGACGAAAGCUAGGGGAGCGAAUGGG
rnacentral:rRNA from 1 species